CCUGAUCACCAUUUUUCUGUGAUCAUAAUGUCUGUUAUACUUGUUGUCUACAUAAUUUGAUAACUUGUGAACUUGAUUGAAAAUUGAAUUAUUGACACCUCUGCAGGUAUCGAGAUCAUUGCCAUCACCACAAAUUGAUAGUUGGUAGUUCAGCUUCAUUGAAUGAAAUAUAUUUACUUAAAUUUCAGUAUACAAGGAAUCUAUUCACUGAAAUUCCAUGACUUGCUUGCCAUACAACAAACAGUAGAUUAUGGACGUGAUUCCUAGAAUUAGAACUUGAAUGGGUCAGACUUGAAUACAUGCAAAGUCAUGUAGCAAUAUUAAAGGUGUUGUACUUCAGGAAAAGGGGAAGCGUAUUUGUUGGAAGAUGGAUAAAGAAAAAUUGGAGCAUGCACUAGACUUCUUUAAAUCCUGCUUUUUUAUCAGGUAACAUCAUUGAGUACAAAAGAAAUGUACCUUCACAGCAGACAACUUAUAACCUUUCGACAAGAAAUUGGGACUGCCUGCCAUUCAACCAUUGUACAUAUAUGAAUUUACCAGUCCUGUUGUGAAGAAACUUAUUUCAUCCUCUUUCAAGGGCCAUGUUAUUUAGGAUUUUAACUACUUGUCCUGCAUCACAAGCUUAAAAAGACUUCACUAUAUGGCUGCAGAUGGAACUGCAUGGUUUGAAAUCCUCAUAGGAAUUCUGAGAAGCAUGGAGGCCUAUUAACCAGAUAAUGAGAUUGUUAUAAGAUUGAUCACUGUUCGUUAUCUUCACCUUGGAUAAUGACAAGAUUUCAUAGCUUGAGGAGUACCAGGAAAAUUUACUUGCAGCAAAAUUGUACAUAAAGAGAGACUCACUCAAGCAUGAAUGUAAGAGAGAGAGAGAGAGAGAGAGAGAGAGAGAGAGAAUUAUAUGGUGAUAUAAUUAAACUCAUUGUCUUCAAUGGGUAUGGCAUGUCAGUAGAGAAUCAUGAUUCAUAUGGUGAUAUUUUUCAAUUAUAUACUCGUUUCAGUGCAAUGGCAUUGUACAAAUAAAUAUUUUAAGUGUUGUUAGGGAAAGUAGUUGCUAUGGUGAUAUGUGUAAACAUAUUGUCUUCCAUGGGUCCGACAUGUCAGUAAAUAAUUACAUGUUGAUAUAUUUGUAUUAUAUUCUCAUUUGAAGGCAAUUGGAAUUGUAGUUUGAAAUGUUUGCUUGUUGCUAGGGAAAAUUGGUUGCUAUGGUGAUAUAGUUAAACCUGAUGUCUUCAUUGGAUUCAACAUAUCAGUAGAGAAUCAUAUAUUGGUAUAUUUGCAUUAGGUUCUGAUUCCAGUGCAAUUUAAUCAUACAACUUUAAAUUUUAUGUGCGUUGCUAAGGAAAAUCAGUUGCUAUGGUGAUAUGGUUGAAGUCUGAUUUCUCCAAUUGGUCUGAAAUGUCAAUAAAUUAAAGUGAACCCAUAUGAUUUGUAUUUAUUUUCAGUUAAUAGAAUCAUUUUAAUGCAUAUAUUGCAGAUAUUCUUGUUUUAUUGUGUUGGAAAUGGGCCUGAAAGAGUUGCCUAGCAACCGUUACUAUGUACAUUUCCGACUCUUUUGAUUUUUAUUUUGAGUACACUUAGUAUUGAUUGUUUAGAAAAUAUGUAUCAAAAUUUGGCACUUUUCGGAUAACUAAAGUAAUAUGUAUUUAAAAUACCUUAAAAUUGUCAAAUUUACAGAAAAUUGAUAAAUAUUAAAACAAUGCCUAUUCCAAAGUCCUCUACAGAUACCAUAUAAUAGUAUUUCAUUAGUAUUGUACAUUUUUAUAUUGAAGUAACCUUUACCUCGCCUAAAUAAAUUAUCAUUAUGUUUGAAAAA